UGGCGAACGGGUGAGUAACACGUGGAUAACCUACCUAUAAGACUGGGAUAACUUCGGGAAACCGGAGCUAAUACCGGAUAAUAUAUUGAACCGCAUGGUUCAAUAGUGAAAGACGGUUUUGCUGUCACUUAUAGAUGGAUCCGCGCCGCAUUAGCUAGUUGGUAAGGUAACGGCUUACCAAGGCAACGAUGCGUAGCCGACCUGAGAGGGUGAUCGGCCACACUGGAACUGAGACACGGUCCAG
rnacentral:rRNA from 1 species